UUCGUUUAUUAUAUAUGUGGGUGAGACUUGCAACGUAUCUAGAUUGUGUUUAAAAAUCUACUCGUUGGAGUAGAUGUCAAACGCAAAUAGAUUUUGAUGGUCCAUAGAUACACAAAAUACAUAGACGAGUCUAUUCUGCGAUGAGCGGAAGAUUUGCGAUAAAAGAAGAGGUACCAACAACUUCUGUCCGUCCACCAAUUACAAGUAUAUAGCCAAAAGGAACCAGAUAGCAGUUCAUAUACAAUGUCAUAGCAACCUCAUAUCAGCAGUUAAUUUUCCGACUAUAUAUUUUACAUGUCUAUGGCCGCACCGCGUGGGAGAAGGCGGUUAAGGUGGGGUUGGGUUUGGAGAUAGGUGGCUCGUUUGAUAGUCGCCAUUUUGUGGCAUUUCUACGCAUUCUACGUAUAUCGUAUAUCGUGUAGUAAACGAACGUGUGUGUUGUACCAGCAGGUCGUGCUGAUCCUUUCAAUAGCGACUCUUUCAAGGUAGAAAAUGUCGCGCUAUCGUGAAUGGGAUCUAUCCUGUAAGGUUUAUGUUGGUAAUCUGGGUAGUAGUGCUAGCAAACAUGAAAUAGAGGGUAAGUUCAGUAAGUAUGGUCCACUGAGAAAUGUGUGGGUAGCCAGAAAUCCACCUGGUUUUGCAUUUGUGGAAUUUGAGGACCCACGAGAUGCUGAAGAUGCAGUGAGAGGACUAGAUGGAAUACACUUAUGUGGCACCAGAGUGCGAGUAGAAAUGUCGUCUGGAAGAAGUCGACGAGGCGGUGGUGGUCGCAGACCCGGUCCUAGAUAUUCCAGGUCUAGAUUGCGCAGUUCUUAUAGGAAAUCCCUGGAUCGUUACCAGAGGUCUUUGUCGAGAAGCCCGCGAAGAUCGCCGAUUAAUCGCUACUCCAGAUUCUACCAGCGUCAGCUCCUAGCUCUGCUCGUCUCCCCGCCACUACUACUACUGCUACUUCUACUACUACUACUACUACAGCCACCGUGAAAAAGCGUAUUCGUACGCGAAAAACAAAAUUAUCAAUCUCGCAAUCGUCGCCAAUCGAACAAAACUGAACAAAAAAUAUAUAUAUGCCUGCCUGCCUGCCCACUAACUUCCCAAUCAACCAAGUCACCAUCAGUCACCACCAAGUCACCGAGUAUAUAGGAAGCCGUCCGUACGUCUGUCACGUCACGUCACGUCGUCCGUCGAAGUUGUGCGUUGUGGUGUUGCGACACGCACACAGCACACAAUGGUGCAACAACCGAAACAACAGUUCGCGUGCUGCCGGAGUACCGUCAGUGCCGAGAAAGCCAUCUUUAAAAGAAAAAAAAACGUUGCCUCUUUUGUUGCUGUCCCCCCGUUCGCCGUCGUUGCGCUGCAAAAACAAAUCGUCCGUCGUUCUACUACGAGAUUCUCCCCUUCGAUAACCACAACCACUACUACUACUACUAUUACUACUACUACUCUUCCACCACUACCACCAUCACCACCACCAACCACCAAUCGACCGAUCACCGGGUGUUAUUGUGAUCCACCUUCUUCGACUCUUCGUCUCAGCUUUAGCCCGGGUGGGGGGGCAGUGGUACGCACCGAAUUAAUUGCCAAAAAUAUCUGCCACCGUGAGAAAAAAACACAACCCAUCGGCUGCCACCAUCUUGAACAAAUCGAUCACGCGAUGUAAAAAAAAAAAAAUGAUUUUCCACACAGUAAUUCUAUCCAUCGGCGCGUCUCUCCAUUCGACUGCAAACGACUGUCUUCUCGACUGUUCGUCGUUUCGAUACCGACGUUUCUAUUUCACCACUGCUACUACUAGUAUUACCGCUACUGCUACUACUACUACUGCUACUGCUCCUACUCGUCGACCAUCAUUUAGGGACGUGUGUUUAGCCACAACGACAACUGAGCGCGCGAGAGUUGCCGCCGAAAGAUCUUCUCGAGAGCGAACGCAAAAAAAGCGAAAUGAUCACCACCUACUACACACCAUCCCACCACCACCCACCAACCAACCAACUACCACCAACCACCACUACAUGUUCACAGUUGUCUGAUCGAGGUCUCGCAGUCCCCGCAGGAGAUCAUUGACUCGGAGCCGCAGCCGCGAUCGCCGUUCACGUUCGGACUCCCGCGAUAGACGGUAUUAAUAUAUUAAUCCUGCUAAUUAAAAAAAAAAAAAA